rnacentral:tmRNA from 1 species
GGGGAUGUAUUUGGUUUUCGACAGUAUCCCAGAAGUAUAUAUAGCGAGUAGUGGAUGGCUGCUUCGGCCACUAUAAAAAAGCAGAACUAAAAAUAAACGCUGAUAAUAAUAGAGAAUUAGCAUACGCUGCCUAAGCUUAGGUAGCUCGUCUUACUAGGAAGGCCUACGGUCUUGGUUAAGGCGUCAAUUAGUAGGAUAACAAAGCUACUUUUGCUAUUGAAGUAGUAGGUAUUUUUAAUAGCUACUCUAAAAUUACGGUUGUUUGUUAAUGUGAUUUUAGGGGAAUACAAGAAUAACAAACUGCACUCGGAGAAGUAUAUAUGGAAAGAAUAUUGGACAGGAGUUCGACUCUCCUCAUCUCCACCA